rnacentral:rRNA from 1 species
CCUACGGGCGGCAGCAGUGGGGAAUAUUGCACAAUGGGGGAAACACUGAUGCAGCGACGCCGCGUGAGUGAAGAAGUAAUUCGUUACGUAAAGCUCUAUCAGCAGGGAAGACAUACUGACCUUACGGUCAGCAGACGGUACCUGAGUAAGAAGCCCCGGCUAACUACGUGCCAGCAGCCGCGGUAAUACGUAGGGGGCAAGCGUUAUCCGGAUUUACUGGGUGUAAAGGGAGCGUAGACGGUGCAGCAAGUCUGAUGUGAAAGGUCGGGGCCCAACCCCGGGACUGCAUUGGAAACGGUUGAACUGGAGUACAGGAGAGGUAAGCGGAAUUCCUAGUGUAGCGGUGAAAUGCGGAGAUAUUAGGAGGAACACCAGUGGCGAAGGCGGCUUACUGGACUGUAACUGACGUUGAGGCGCGAAAGCGUGGGGAGCAAACAGGAUUAGAGACCCGAGUAGUC